rnacentral:lncRNA from 1 species
AAUAAGCACUAACAGUGCCUUGGGCAGAGACCCCAGUGACUACCUAAUAGUAGCCUUCAAGAGCAUCACUUCCCACUCUCCUGCCCUGCCUCACUUUCCUCCUAGGUCUUAUGGGAUGGAUGGUAGAUGUCAUUCCCUGGUUCCCUAACGCUCAAGUCUAGCCCCUCAUUUCCUGGCAAGCAUCAAGCUUGAUUGUGUCUGUAACCUCUCAGAAGUCAGACCUCAGAAGUGUGCUUUUCUGGGAAAUCAGGGUCAGAGAGGAAAGAAGGAGGGAAUAAAGACAUUGUAAUAGAUUUAUAUAUAUCAUUGUAACUCAUCCACACAACAAUCUUGUAAGAAACUGCAAAACAUACAGCAAAAAGAAUUGGCUUAAAGGCAGUUGAUGUUUGUAAAUAAAUCCACAAUAGGAUCCAAGCUAAAGAGGUGAUACAUGGUCAGCCUAGUAGGACAAUUAGGAGCAUGUGCAUAUGCAAGUAAAGGCCAGACUAUAUAUUUUUUAAAUGUCAGUGCAUUUUGUUAUGUUAAAAUUUUUUCAAAGCUUUA